ensembl:lncRNA
GUUCUUCCAUGCUGAUGGCUGUGCUCUAGAGUCAUAUCUCCUGUCGAAGAACAUUUUUAGACAUUAUGAACCAUGAAAAGUAAGUAAUUCCUCAAACAUACACUACCAUUCAAAAAUGUAAGGGUCAGAUUUGUAAAAAUAAAUAUUUUAUGCUCACCACUGCUGCAUUUAUUUGAUUAAAAUACAGUAAAAUAGUAAUAUUGUGAAAUUACCAUUUUUAUAACUAUUUUCUAUUUCAGUAUGUUUUUAAAAAAAGUGAUCAAAGCUGAAUUUUUCAGCAUCAUUACUCCAGUCUCCAGUGUCACAUAAUCCUUCAAAUAUUAGUCCAUUCUAAUAAAGUGCAAGAAGCUCUUACAAAUAUUAAUGUAAAUAGUAAUUUUUUCCUUUGGUGAUUUGUAUUGUAUACCCAGAAUGCAAUGCACAAUGAAGUAGAUUCCAAUUCUCUAACUCCAAGCUACACACUCUCACACCGUGUCUACACUGGACGCACCAAAGUGACUUGAAAAUCAUUUGAACUUUGUCAGUACAUCAUAAAUAGAAACAGGCAUCAGUUUACCGUCUGUGAUUUGUUGUGUUGUGCCAUGCCACAUCCAGUGUAGAGAGCAUUACUGAUUCUAAUAGGCUCUGUUGUAUUUUUGUUGUGCCGUCCCAGUGUAGACACAGUGUUAGACCUCUUAUUAAAUAUCAUUACAUAUGAUUCAUGUAUGAUGCCAUUCAUCACUGAUAGAUCUUUUCUAUUUCAUCGAUAAACCACAAGGUAACUGUAACAUAUUUAAACAAUAUUAAUAAGAAUAAAUAAAAAUGCAUCUGUGACUUACUGUAAUAUUGCUUCUUAUUUUUCAGUGGGUUGAAAGUUCUUAUUAAACACAUAGCUUUAUUCUCAUCUCUGUGCAUUUUCAGACAUUGUGCAUAUUUCUGAAUCAAAUUUUUUUUAACUUUUUAACAUCAUAAUAUUGGUUGUCUUCUCUUUUGUCAGAGUUUAGCUCCAACCCCAGUUAAGCAGAUCUGGGCAGCUGAUCAAGGAUCACCAGAAACUCUGCAGAACAUUGGUCCUCCAGCCCAGGACUGGACACCAGUGUUAGUGUCUGUCUCAGAAGCUGAAGAAAAGAGGCCACACCUCAGAGGAAAUAAGCGCUUCCUAAGGGUACGGAAAUACCUGGCUGAGAAGAUCAGUGACAUAAACCAGAUAAAACUGUCAGUGGUAAGUAUUUACAUAUCCAUAUCUGAAUGUAAUUACUACAACCUCUUAUAUGAUUUGAAGUGAAUAGAGACUAUGUACCAUAAAAAGUAGACAAUGUAAUUAUUCAAGACUAUUUGUGACCCUGGACCACAAAACCAGUUAUACGGGUAUUUUUUUUUUAAAUUUAGAUUUUUAUAUCAAUAAUAU